GGAAUAUUGGACAGUGGGCGCAAGCCUGAUCCAGCCAUGCCGCGUGUGUGAAGAAGGCCUUCGGGUUGUAAAGCACUUUCAGCGAGGAGGAAGGGGUUGGUGUUAAUAGCAACACUUUUUGACGUUACUCGCAGAAGCAGCACCGCCUAACUCCGUUCCAUCAGCCGCGGUAAUACGGAGGGUGCAAGCGUUAAUCGGAAUUACUGGGCGUAAAGCGCACGCAGGCGGCUUUUUAAGUCGGAUGUGAAAGCCCCGGGCUCAACCUGGGAAUUGCAUUCGAUACUGGGGAGCUAGAGUAUGUGAGAGGGGGGUAGAACUCCAAGUGUAGCGGUGAAAUGCGUAGAGAUUUGGAGGAAUACCAGUGGCGAAGGCGGCCCCCUGGCACAAUACUGACGCUCAGGUGCGAAAGCGUGGGGAGCA
rnacentral:rRNA from 1 species